rnacentral:rRNA from 1 species
UACGGAGGGGGUUAGCGUUGUUCGGAAUUACUGGGCGUAAAGCGUGCGCAGGCGGUUUGUUAAGCCAGAUGUGAAAGCCCCGGGCUCAACCUGGGAACUGCGUUUGGUACUGGCAAGCUAGAGUACGGCAGAGGGGGGUGGAAUUCCACGUGUAGCAGUGAAAUGCGUAGAGAUGUGGAGGAACACCGAUGGCGAAGGCAGCCCCCUGGGCCGAUACUGACGCUCAGGCACGAAAGCGUGGGGAGCAAACAGG